GUAGUCCACGCCCUAAACGAUGCGAACUGGAUGUUGGGUACAUUACGGUACUCAGUGUCGAAGCUAACGCGUUAAGUUCGCCGCCUGGGGAGUACGGUCGCAAGACUGAAACUCAAAGGAAUUGACGGGGGCCCGCACAAGCGGUGGAGUAUGUGGUUUAAUUCGAUGCAACGCGAAGAACCUUACCUGGCCUUGACAUCUGUCGAAUCCUGCAGAGAUGCGGGAGUGCCGCAAGGAACGACAAGACAGGUGCUGCAUGGCUGUCGUCAGCUCGUGUCGUGAGAUGUUGGGUUAAGUCCCGCAACGAGCGCAACCCUUGUCCCUAGUUGCCAGCACGUAAUGGUGGGAACUCUAGGGAGACUGCCGGUGACAAACCGGA
rnacentral:rRNA from 1 species